CCUACGGGUGGCAGCAGUGGGGAAUAUUGCACAAUGGAGGGAACUCUGAUGCAGCGACGCCGCGUGAGUGAAGAAGUAAUUCGUUAUGUAAAGCUCUAUCAGCAGGGAAGAAAGAGACGGUACCUGAAACAGAAGCUCCGGCUAAAUACGUGCCAGCCGCCGCGGUACUCCGUAUGGAGCAAGCGUUAGCCGGAUUUACGGGGUGUAAGGGGAGAGUAGGUGGUAGAGCAAGUCCGAAGUGAAAACCCAAAGCUCAACGAUGGGAAUGCUUUAGAAACUGCUCAGCUAGAGUGCAGGAGAGGCAAGUGGAAUUCGUGGUGUAGCGGUGAAAUGCGUAGAUAUUAGGAGGAACACCAGUGGCGAAGGCGGCUUGCUGAACUGUAACUGACACUGAGGCUCGAAAGCGUGGGGAGCAAACAGGAUUAGAUACCCGAGUAGUC
rnacentral:rRNA from 1 species